rnacentral:lncRNA from 1 species
CAACAACAUUCUAUGAAUAUUCUUGAGCAACAAGAGGAAUGUGCUGACGGGUACUCUGUGUCCUAGAUGCCUUGGAGGAAGACAUGGAUCCCAUCAAAGGAGACAGCGCCGGAGGCACACCUCUCACCAUGGGGACAGGAGCAUCUGGUGAAUGCGAUGCCUUGGAGGAAGCCCUGGAUCCCAUCAAAGGAGACAGCGCCGGAGGCACACCUCUCGCCUUGGUGAGCUAGAAGUUCUUUGUCCGAGG